CUACGGGUGGCUGCAGUGGGGAAUAUUGCACAAUGAGCGAAAGCUUGAUGCAGCCAUACCGCGUGUGUGAAGAAGGCCCGAGGGUUGUAAAGCACUUUCAAUUGGGAGGAAGGUUAAGUAGUUAAUACCUGCUUAAUUUGACGUUACCUUUAGAAGAAGCACCGGCUAACUCUGUGCCAGCAGCCGCGGUAAUACAGAGGGUGCAAGCGUUAUUCGGAAUUACUGGGCGUAAAGCGCGCGUAGGCGGAUUAUUAAGUCAGUUGUGAAAGCCCUGGGCUCAACCUGGGAACUGCAUCUGAUACUGGUAGUCUAGAGUUUAAGAGAGGGAGGUAGAAUUCCAGGUGUAGCAGUGAAAUGCGUAGAUAUCUGGAGGAACAUCAGUGGCGAAGGCGACUUCCUGGCUUAAAACUGACGCUGAGGUGCGAAAGCGUGGGUAGCGAACGGGAUUAGAUACCCCUGUAGUC
rnacentral:rRNA from 1 species